rnacentral:rRNA from 1 species
UACGAAGGGGGCUAGCGUUGCUCGGAAUUACUGGGCGUAAAGGGCGCGUAGGCGGGUCGUUUAGUUAGAGGUGAAAGCCCAGGGCUCAACCCUGGAAUUGCCUUUAAUACUGGCGCCUUGAGUAUGGCAGAGGUGUGUGGAACUCCGAGUGUAGAGGUGAAAUUCGUAGAUAUUCGGAAGAACACCAGUGGCGAAGGCGACACACUGGGCCAUUACUGACGCUGA